UAGGGAAUCUUCGGCAAUGGACGAAAGUCUGACCGAGCAACGCCGCGUGAGUGAAGAAGGUUUUCGGAUCGUAAAACUCUGUUGUUAGAGAAGAACAAGGACGUUAGUAACUGAACGUCCCCUGACGGUAUCUAACCAGAAAGCCACGGCUAACUACGUGCCAGCAGCCGCGGUAAUACGUAGGUGGCAAGCGUUGUCCGGAUUUAUUGGGCGUAAAGCGAGCGCAGGCGGUUUCUUAAGUCUGAUGUGAAAGCCCCCGGCUCAACCGGAGAGGGUCAUUGGAAACUGGGAGACUUGAGUGCAGAAGAGGAGAGUGGAAUUCCAGGUGUAGCGGUGAAAUGCGUAGAUAUAUGGAGGAACACCAGUGGCGAAGGCGGCUCUCUGGUCUGUAACUGACGCUGAGGCUCGAAAGCGUGGGGAGCAAACAGG
rnacentral:rRNA from 1 species